rnacentral:misc_RNA from 1 species
CUCUCUCUCUCUCUCUCUCUAAUCAAUAACAAAACUCUGAUACAUAUAAAUUCUAACACUUUAUCAUUACCACACAAAGUUUUUUCCAGCUAAUGGUGCUUUGAAUUGCCAAAAAAAAAAAUCACAAAAAACUACUUUCCAAUACAAAGCCACUAAUAACAAAUAAAUCCCAAAAAAUUUCAGCUAAAUUAGUCUAUAGAUUCCAAGUUAAAUUCUCUAAAAUCAAAAUCACCGCGCAUGUUAAGUGGGUAACAGUUAACACCAAAUUUUGAAGAAAAUGCCAGCAAACAGAACAUUUAAAAGAGGAAAACAAAUACAAAAAGUUGCAGUUACAGAAAGAAAGAGAACGUAAUCGAUCAGUAAUCUAAACUAACCCAAUUGCGAAAUUCUCAACUAAUUAUAAAGCUCAAAGAAUCAGUUCAGAGUUGG